UCUGUGAGAGGGGAGAGGAAGGGCAAGGGGAGAAGGACAAGUACUAGUUCAAUAAAGUCAAGUGUUGGUUCUUCUACAGUACCAAGUAAUUCCCAACCAAGUAGAGAAAGGGGAAGACUAAGAGGUUCUGCCAAACAGGGGUACAGGACAGUCGUCUACAUCACAGGCUUCUGAUGCAAGUGCAUCAGUUACUGGAAGAGGGGCACCCUUUAAGAGGCCAAGAGUUGUGGAAAUGGGAGUGCUUCAGACCCAAAGUGGUUUCAAAAUUGUCAAUCCUGGAAUGGCAAAUCAGUCUUCAACCAUGCCUAUGAAUUCAGCAGUAGUCACUAGUAGUCUUGGACAUCCCAAACCAAGACCAGGAGGACUAAAACGAAAAAGAAGUCCAGCUAUAACACAACAAGGUCUUCAACAAAUGAGUGGACAAAAGAGAAUGAAAACAAGGGCCAAAGCUGCUGAGUUGAACUCUUUAAGUCAAACAAGUUCAUCAGCUGCCCAGAAAUGAAAUGGAAAAAUGAAGUUGAAUUAGUUUAGUCCUGUAUGUGUAUGUCUUUGGUACUGACUGUUAUGCAGCAGUGACUACAGAUUUUCAUGUUUUUGUGAAACAAUUAUGGUAGAUGAUGUACAUUUG